CAAUAGCGUAUAUUAAAGUUGUUGCAGUUAAAAAGCUCGUAGUUGGAUUUGUGGCGUACGGUGGGUUCCGGGCACUUGUUGUCUGAGUAACUUGCUGUUGCCAUCCUUGGGUGGAACCUGUGUGGCAUUAGGUUGUCGUGCAGGGGAUGCCCAUCAUUUACUGUGAAAAAAUUAGAGUGUUCUAAGCAGGCUUAUGCCGUUGAAUAUAUUAGCAUGGAAUAAUGAGAUAGGACUUUUUUGCUAUUUUGUUGGUUUGCGCAAAGAGGUAAUGAUUAAUAGGGACAGUUGGGGGUAUUCGUAUUCCAUUGUCAGAGGUGAAAUUCUUGGAUUUUUGGAAGACGAACUACUGCGAAAGCAUUUACCAAGGAUGUUUUCAUUAA
rnacentral:rRNA from 1 species